UACAGGGGGAGCAAGCGUUGUUCGGAUUUACUGGGCGUAAAGGGCGCGUAGGCGGUCAGCACAAGUCAGUUGUGAAAUCUCCGGGCUUAACUCGGAAAGGUCAACUGAUACUGUGCGACUAGAGUGCAGAAGGGGCAACUGGAAUUCUCGGUGUAGCGGUGAAAUGCGUAGAUAUCGAGAGGAACACCUGCGGCGAAGGCGGGUUGCUGGGCUGACACUGACGCUGAUGCGCGAAAGCCAGGGGAGCGAACGGG
rnacentral:rRNA from 1 species